CGAACCGUGCGAACGUUGUUCGGAAUCACUGGGCUUAAAGGGCGCGUAGGCGGGCCGGCCAGUCUGUGGUGAAAGCCCCCAGCUCAACUGGGGAAGUGCCGUGGACACUGCCGGCCUCGAGGGAGGUAGGGGCGUGUGGAACUUCCGGUGGAGCGGUGAAAUGCGUAGAUAUCGGAAGGAACGCCGGUGGCGAAAGCGACGCGCUGGACCUCUACUGACGCUGAGGCGCGAAAGCCAGGGGAGCAAACGGGAUUAGAUACCCCGGUAGUCCUGGCCCUAAACGAUGGGUACUAGGUUGUGGACUGGACAUGGGUUCACAGCCGAAGCAAAAGUGUUAAGUACCCCGCCUGGGGAGUAUGGUCGCAAGGCUG
rnacentral:rRNA from 1 species